rnacentral:rRNA from 1 species
GACAGAGGGUGCAAACGUUGUUCGGAAUUACUGGGCGUAAAGCGCGUGUAGGCUGCUCGGAAAGUCGGAUGUGAAAGCCCUGGGCUCAACCUAGGAAGUGCAUUCGAAACUUCCGAGCUGGAGUGCUGGAGAGGAAGGCGGAAUUCUCGGUGUAGAGGUGAAAUUCGUAGAUAUCGAGAGGAACACCGGUGGCGAAGGCGGCGAUCUGGACGGUGACUGACGCUGAGACGCGAAAGCGUGGGGAGCGAACAGG